GAAAUGCGAUAACUAAUGUGAAUUGCAGAAUUCAGUGAAUCAUCGAGUCUUUGAACGCACAUUGCACCCCCUGGUAUUCCGGGGGGCAUGCCUGUCCGAGCGUCAUUGCUGCCCUCAAGCCCGGCUUGUGUGUUGGGUCGCCGUCCCCCUCUCCGGGGGGACGGGCCCGAAAGGCAGCGGCGGCACCGCGUCCGAUCCUCGAGCGUAUGGGGCUUUGUCACAUGCUCUGUAGGAUUGGUCGGCGCCUGCCGACGUUUUCCAACCAUUUUUUCCAGGUUGACCUCGGAUCAGGUAGGGAUACCCGCUGAACUUAAGC
rnacentral:misc_RNA from 1 species